GGGGCCGUGGGGUAGCUUGGUCCAGCGAAAAACAGGAUUAUUCCUGAAUUCACUGCAAGAACCAUCCUUUCUGGUUUGGGACCAGAUGACCCCGGUUCGAAUCCGGGCGGCCCCA
rnacentral:tRNA from 1 species